CCUACGGGUGGCAGCAGUGGGGAAUAUUGGACAAUGGGCGAAAGCCUGAUCCAGCCAUGCCGCGUGUGUGAAGAAGGCCUUCGGGUUGUAAAGCACUUUCAGUGGGGAAGAAAGCCUUGGGGCUAAUACCCUCGAGGAAGGACAGCACCCACAGAAGAAGCACCGGCUAACUCCGUGCCAGCAGCCGCGGUAAUACGGAGGGUGCGAGCGUUAAUCGGAAUUACUGGGCGUAAAGCGCGCGUAGGCGGUCUGAUAAGCCGGUUGUGAAAGCCCCGGGCUCAACCUGGGAACGGCAUCCGGAACUGUCAGGCUAGAGUGCAGGAGAGGAAGGUAGAAUUCCCGGUGUAGCAGUGAAAUGCGUAGAGAUCGGGAGGAAUACCGGUGGCGAAGGCGGCCUUCUGGACUUACACUGACGCUGAGGUGCGAAAGCGUGGGUAGCAAACAGGAUUAGAUACCCGGGUAGUC
rnacentral:rRNA from 1 species